rnacentral:tRNA from 1 species
GACGCGAUAGCGCAGUGGUUAACCACGUGGUGUGUCUUGAGUGUGCCCCGGGUUCUAGUCCCGGGCGCGUCG